GUAGACGAUGGGGAUGCGUUCCAUUAGAUAGUAGGCGGGGUAACGGCCCACCUAGUCAACGAUGGAUAGGGGUUCUGAGAGGAAGGUCCCCCACAUUGGAACUGAGACACGGUCCAAACUCCUACGGGAGGCAGCAGUGAGGAAUAUUGGUCAAUGGGCGAUGGCCUGAACCAGCCAAGUAGCGUGAAGGAUGACUGCCCUAUGGGUUGUAAACUUCUUUUAUAAAGGAAUAAAGUCGGGUAUGCAUACCCGUUUGCAUGUACUUUAUGAAUAAGGAUCGGCUAACUCCGUGCCAGCAGCCGCGGUAAUACGGAGGAUCCGAGCGUUAUCCGGAUUUAUUGGGUUUAAAGGGAGCGUAGAUGGAUGUUUAAGUCAGUUGUGAAAGUUUGCGGCUCAACCGUAAAAUUGCAGUUGAUACUGGAUGUCUUGAGUGCAGUUGAGGCAGGCGGAAUUCGUGGUGUAGCGGUGAAAUGCUUAGAUAUCACGAAGAACUCCGAUUGCGAAGGCAGCCUGCUAAGCUGCAACUGACAUUGAGGCUCGAAAGUGUGGGUAUCAAACAGGAUUAGAUACCCUGGUAGUCCACACGGUAAACGAUGAAUACUCGCUGUUUGCGAUUAUACGGCAAGCGGCCAAGCGAAAGCGUUAAGUAUUCCACCUGGGGAGUACGCCGGCAACGGUGAAACUCAAAGGAAUUGACGGGGGCCCGCACAAGCGGAGGAGCAUGUGGUUUAAUUCGAAGCAACGCGAAGAACCUUACCAAGUCUUGACAUCCCGAUGACAGAACAUGUAAUGUGUUUUCUCUUCGGAGCAUCGGUGACAGGUGGUGCAUGGUUGUCGUCAGCUCGUGUCGUGAGAUGUUGGGUUAAGUCCCGCAACGAGCGCAACCCCUAUUCUUAGUAGCCAGCGGUUCGGCCGGGCACUCUAGGGAGACUGCCAGGGAUAACCUGGAGGAAGGUGGGGAUGACGUCAAAUCAUCAUGCCCCUUAUGACUUGGGCUACACACGUGCUACAAUGGCGUAAACAAAGGGAAGCGAGCCUGCGAGGGGGAGCAAAUCUCAAAAAUAACGUCUCAGUUCGGACUGCAGUCUGCAACUCGACUGCACGAAGCUGGAAUCGCUAGUAAUCGCGAAUCAGAAUGUCGCGGUGAAUAAAUUCCCGGGUCUUGCACUCACCGCCCGUCAAG
rnacentral:rRNA from 1 species